rnacentral:lncRNA from 1 species
AACAUCCGCAGCCAAUCCCAUUCAAAUCCAGCAUUCCAUCCUUAUCUCCUCUUCGGAACAAAUCCCUUGCAUCCUUUUCCCCUAUUCCGAAACAAAGGAAAUAACUAUCCGUGAUUCAAGGCCCCUUCCGGAUCAAUUCCCAGCUCCCAGGUCCCACGAACAAAACCAAGCCUAUCAUCCCGUUCAAGUUCCAAAAGGUCCCACGUCCAUGAUCCUUUUCUUCGCGUAUUCAUCCCAAUGGAUUUCUCUUCAUCCACUUCUUCCGAACCAGCCAGCGUUCCGGAUUGAUCCCAGCUUCUCCCGAGAUGUACGCCAAGCAAACAAACUUCUAUCUUCAUUCACUUCCUUCAACCGUGAACAUCAUCCGAACCUUAUCUUCCCCUGUUCUGAAACAACGCAUUCCAUCCGUUCCUAACCUCAAAUCCCAACAUCCCGCUUCUUCUGGAUCAUCUCCCAUCCACGGACAUGAUCUAUUCUUAUCCAAGCAAACCUCAGGAUCUCAUUCCUCCCAACGUCCUUCUUCUCAUCUUUAUCUUUCGAUCAACUCCCCUGUUCCAGCUUGCAGCCUUAUCCCACAAACAUGAAUUCAUCCCAC